rnacentral:lncRNA from 1 species
AAUAAAAUUCUACAAUUCAUAUUUUUAGAUUUUUUUUUUUACUUUUAAAAUGAAAUACAUUAAUUAAAGUUAGAAUAUUAAUCUUUUGUAUACAAAAGAAGCCAAAACAUCAGUUGUAAACCGUACUCAAAGUUAAAUCAUUUUAUAAGUAUUUAUUUAUUGAAUAAAAGCCUACUAGUUAGACUCUGGUUUCCUCUCAUGUUUUACUACAAAUAAUAAUUCAUCUGAAGUGGCCUUUACUUUGUUACAAACCGACACAAAAGUAUUUAUUGAAUAAAAGCCUACUAGUUAGACUCUGGUUUCCUUUCCUCUCAUGUUUUACUACAAAUAAUAAUUCAUCUGAAAUGGCCUUUACUUUGUCACAAACCGACACACGUUUAAAUUUCUUUUGGCUCUCUCUUAUCGCUGUCUUUAAAACUCAGCUCUAAACAUAAUCCUUCCAUUUCAGAAGUGUCAGUUUAUGGCUAAUUUUGUUUUAAACUGAGUUUAGUUUUAGAGUUGCAAAUACAAAGUUUUAACAUAAGUUUCAACUUUCAAUUAUAACCAUAUUUUCCGUUAUAUUAAAUUAUAAAAAUAUGGAGUAUAUUCAGGUCUGAGUAUAUUUUUAUUUUUUCCUUAAAUAUACCAUUUGUAUUAGCUGAAACAUUUAAUAAGGGUUAUAGUGAAAAACUAAUACUCCUUUCUUAACAGGUGCGCGAGAUGUUUAAAACAUUUAAAUUAAACGUUAAAG